GCAAUUCGAACGAACCUUCGGGUGAUGGCGCACGGGUGCGUAACGCGCGGGAACGACCCCUAGGUAGGAAAACGUAAGAAUCCCGCGCUCAUACCUCAUAAUAACUUCGGUUCAAAGAUUUAUCGCCUAGGGAUCAGCCCGCGUCAGAUUAGAUAGUUGGUGAGGUAACGGCUCACCAAGUCGACGAUCUGUAGGGGGUCUGAGAGGAUGAUCCCCCACACUGGUACUGAGACACGGACCAGACUCCUACGGGAGGCAGCAGUGAGGAAUAUUGGACAAUGGAGGCAACUCUGAUCCAGCCACGCCGCGUGAGUGAAGACGGCCUUAGGGUUGUAAAGCUCUUUCAAUUGCGAAGAUAAUGACGGUAACAAUAGAAGUAAGCUCCGGCUAAAUUCGUGCCAGCAGCCGCGGUAAUACGAAUGGAGCAAGCGUUGUUCGGAAUCACUGGGCUUAAAGCGUAUGUAGGCGGAAUGGAAAGUCAGGAGUGAAAUCCCAGAGCUCAACUCUGGAACUGCUCUUGAAACUUCCAUUCUAGAAUCCUGGAGAGGUUAGGAGAAUUCCGAGUGUAGAGGUGAAAUUCGCAGAUAUUCGGAGGAAUACCAGUGGCGUAGGCGCCUAACUGGACAGGUAUUGACGCUCAGAUACGAAAGCGUGGGGAGCAAACAGGAUUAGAUACCCUGGUAGUCCACGCCGUAAACGA
rnacentral:rRNA from 1 species